rnacentral:rRNA from 1 species
GACGAACCGAGCGAACGUUGUUCGGAAUCACUGGGCUUAAAGGGCGCGUAGGCGGGGUCAUAAGUCUGUGGUGAAAUCCUCCGGCUCAACCGGAGAACUGCCUCGGAUACUGUGGCUCUCGAGGGUGGUAGGGGUAUGCGGAACUAUCGGUGGAGCGGUGAAAUGCGUUGAUAUCGAUAGGAACUCCGGUAGCGAAGGCGGCAUACUGGACCACUUCUGACGCUGAGGCGCGAAAGCCAGGGGAGCAAACGGG